CGGUGGUGCCAAAGCUAGGAUACGAACCAAGUGCUGUGAGGAAUGCAUCACGCGUAUAGAAGUUCUUGCCGGCACAGCUUGAGGACGCCUGAUUGAUUAUCCCAUCAAAGAAUGAUUGUGUAACUAUAUUAGCCACAGAAGAUGAAGAAGACGA